CAAAAAGUAGCUUACCACUAAAGCAUCUGGCUUACAACCAGAAGUCGUUGUUUACACAACCUUUUUGA
rnacentral:tRNA from 2 species